AUGCAUGGAAUACGACGAGUCGGCAACCAACAAUUGAUGAGCCUGACUGCCAGAGAAUGGAAGGAGCAAGAUGUUCUUGAUUACCAUAGCCCCGAUGUCGGGCUCGUCGCCGUCAACGACCCCUUCAUGAGCACUGACUACAUGGGUGGUGCCAAUAAGGUCAUCAUUUCUGCUCCCAGCAAGGAUGCUCCCAUGUUUGUCUGUGGUGUCAAUGAGAAGGAAUACAAAUCUGACAUCGACAUUGUCUCCAACGCUAGCUGCACCACUAACUGCCUUGCUCCUCUUGCUAAGGUUAUCAAUGACAGGUUUGGCAUCGUUGAGGGUUUGAUGACAACAGUUCAUGCCAUGACUGCAACCCAGAAGACUGUUGAAUGUCCUUCCAGCAAGGACUGGAUAGGUGGAAGGGCUGCCAGCUUCAACAUCAUUCCGAGCAGCAUUGGUGCCGGCGAAGAAUAG
rnacentral:rRNA from 1 species